rnacentral:rRNA from 1 species
CCUACGGGUGGCAGCAGUGGGGAAUAUUGGGCAAUGGGCGCAAGCCUGACCCAGCAACGCCGCGUGCAGGAAGAAGGCUUUCGGGUUGUAAACUUCUUUUCUCAGGGACGAAGCAAGUGACGGUACCUGCGGAAUAAGCCACGGCUAACUACGUGCCAGCAGCCGCGGUAAUACGUAGGUGGCAAGCGUUAUCCGGAUUUACUGGGUGUAAAGGGCGUGUAGGCGGGACUGCAAGUCAGAUGUGAAAACCAUGGGCUCAACCUAUGGCCUGCAUUUGAUACUGUAGUUCUUGAGUACUGGAGAGGCAGACGGAAUGCCUGGUGUAGCGGUGAAAUGCGUAGAGAUUAGGAGGAACACCAGUGGCGAAGGCAGUCUGCUGGACAGCAACUGACGCUGAGGCGCGAAAGCGUGGGGAGCAAACAGGAUUAGAUACCCCUGUAGUC